ensembl:misc_RNA 7SK 7SK RNA
GGAUGUGAGGGCGAUCUGGCUGCAAUAUCUGUCACUCCAUUGAUCGCCAGGGUUGAUUCGGCUGAUCUGGCUGGCUAGCCGGGUGUCCCCUUCCUCUCUCACCGAUCCAUGUGCGUCCCUCCCAAAGCUGCGCGCUCCGGUCGAAGAGGACAACCUUCCCCGCAGAGGAGAGGACCAGUCUUCGGUCAAGGGUAUAUGAGUAGCUGCGCUGACCUGCUAGAACCUCCAAACAAGCUCUCAAAUGACUUGUAUGCAUGCAUAUAAGCCUAACCAAUGGACACAGACACCAUGGGGGU